CCCGCUGGCGGCUUCAAUGGCUUGGGAAACAUUGAGAGGAGGGAGGAUAUUUGAGCCGCUUGUGUGUUCGCACAGCGUCAGUGAUCCUUCUAUGGCAAAGCUCCAUGAUAAGGUCACUCAGAGUACGUAUGUUGCAGAUCGACCUUGACCAGGGAAAGGACAGCAAUUUGGACUGAGACGAAAGGUUUAUUUAAGAAUAUAUUUAUUGGCACAGACAUGCUGCCAAUAAAGUUUAGCAAGGAAACGCAGCCAUAGGUCUACUACACCCAAUGGGUCAGACACACACACAGUAAAGUAGCAUGUUGCAAGAGUCAGUUACAUGUACGUCAGACAGAUCGUAUCGAUCGAUAUAUGCGCUGAGAAGUAGCACUGUACGAGUCAGUGGACAGUGUCUGUAGCAUGAGAACUGCAGAGAAGUGAGACGUUUCACUUGACAUACGCGAGAAAGAUCACACUGAUUUUCCCUCACUUCCAACCUUUAUCACGUGGCCCCUUCAUCAUGUGAAGUUGGUCACCAGGCUGAUAACUUAGCAGAACCAGCUGCUGUAGCAGAGACCAGGCCUAAAUAAUGCUUAAACAGCCACCGUCAAGGAAACAGCCCCUGGACUGCCCAAACAUGUUCAAGUGAUCAAGUUUACAUCGGUUACAUGAUCAAGUUUACAUCGGUUAUACAAUUUUCUUAUGUCAAAUAAGUCCUGUAGGAUGGUCUGCCCUCAGUUGUCCCCCAGCGGUGUAGCUCUCAAAUCUGAUGUUUAUGAAUAUUGGUUGAGUGCAUACGGAAUUCCCGAUAUCCACCUGACGUCAUCGCUGCUCAACCAACCGUAGCCUUGCUUGCAUCGUCGCCGUAGCAACGUGAAUGGUGACUACAAGAAAGCCACGUGGUGAUCUCCAGCAGGGCGCGCGAACAGCUUACGUUUCUCUGUCUAUAUUUGGCUAUGGAGAGACGGGAAACAGCAGUCCAGCCAAGGCCAAGGAGCUGAGUUGUGUGCUCUUUGGCGCUUAGUUGGGUUGGGUGCAUGUGAUUUCCAAGGAAGAGAAAUCAUCUAUAUAACAUGGUGGCUUUAAGCAUGCCUGCAUUGUAUCAUGAAUGGAUGCAAGCUCCCCAAAUAAAAUAAGGAAUAUUGUGCUCUGUUGUUGAUAAGAUGCGCAGAUUCCUUAUGAAAAACACGGGUUUGAGAGGCCUAUGUAAUUUCUUGUUGUCCGGAGUAGGUGUCAAAAUCAACCUAUUUUUCACAAUGUAUUUCAAUAAACUACUGAAA